rnacentral:rRNA from 1 species
UACGAAGGGGGCUAGCGUUGCUCGGAAUCACUGGGCGUAAAGCGCACGUAGGCGGCUUCUUAAGUCAGGGGUGAAAUCCUGGAGCUCAACUCCAGAACUGCCUUUGAUACUGAGAAGCUUGAGUCCGGGAGAGGUGAGUGGAACUGCGAGUGUAGAGGUGAAAUUCGUAGAUAUUCGGAAGAACACCAGUGGCGAAGGCGGCUCACUGGACUGGUAUUGACGCUGAUGUGCGAAAGCGUGGGGAGCAAACAGG